AACGAACGCUGGCGGCAUGGAUUAGGCAUGCAAGUUGAACGAACCACUUCGGUGGUGAGUAGCGGAAGGGUGAGGAACGCGUGAGUAAUCUGCCCCCAAGUUGGGAAUAACAGCUGGAAACGGCUGCUAAUACCGAAUGUGGCUUGAGAUUCGCAUGAAUCUCUGGCUAAAGAUUUAUUGCUUGGGGAUGAGCUCGCGUCCCAUUAGGUAGUUGGUGAGGUAACGGCCCACCAAGCCGAUGAUGGGUAGCUGGUCUGAGAGGAUGGUCAGCCACACUGGGACUGAGACACUGCCCAGACUCCUACGGGAGGCUGCAGUCGAGAAUCUUGGGCAAUGCGCGAAAGCGUGACCCAGCAAUGCCGCGUGUAUGAUGAAGGUCUUCGGAUUGUAAAAUACUGUCUCCCGUGACGAUAAUGACGGUAGCGGGGAAGGAAGCCACGGCUAACUACGUGCCAGCCGCCGCAGUAA
rnacentral:rRNA from 1 species